rnacentral:rRNA from 1 species
UAAUGGGUCAGCGACUUAUAUUCUGUAGCAAGGUUAACCGUAUAGGGGAGCCGAAGGGAAACCGAGUCUUAACUGGGCGUUAAGUUGCAGGGUAUAGACCCGAAACCCGGUGAUCUAGCCAUGGGCAGGUUGAAGGUUGGGUAACACUAACUGGAGGACCGAACCGACUAAUGUUGAAAAAUUAGCGGAUGACUUGUGGCUGGGGGUGAAAGGCCAAUCAAACCGGGAGAUAGCUGGUUCUCCCCGAAAGCUAUUUAGGUAGCGCCUCGUGAACUCAUCUUCGGGGGUAGAGCACUGUUUCGGCUAGGGGGUCAUCCCGACUUACCAACCCGAUGCAAACUGCGAAUACCGAAGAAUGUUAUCACGGGAGACACACGGCGGGUGCUAACGUCCGUCGUGAAGAGGGAAACAACCCAGACCGCCAGCUAAGGUCCCAAAGUCACAGUUAAGUGGGAAACGAUGUGGGAAGGCCCAGACAGCCAGGAUGUUGGCUUAGAAGCAGCCAUCAUUUAAAGAAAGCGUAAUAGCUCACUGGUCGAGUCGGCCUGCGCGGAAGAUGUAACGGGGCUAAACUGUGCACCGAAGCUGCGGCAGCGACGCUUAUGCGUUGUUGGGUAGGGGAGCGUUCUGUAAGCCUGCGAAGGUGUCCUGUGAGGGAUGCUGGAGGUAUCAGAAGUGCGAAUGCUGACAUAAGUAACGAUAAUGCGGGUGAAAAGCCCGCUCGCCGGAAGACCAAGGGUUCCUGUCCAACGUUAAUCGGGGCAGGGUGAGUCGACCCCUAAGGCGAGGCCGAAAGGCGUAGUCGAUGGGAAACGGGUUAAUAUUCCCGUACUUGGUGUUACUGCGAAGGGGGGACGGAGAAGGCUAUGUUGGCCGGGCGACGGUUGUCCCGGUUUAAGCGUGUAGGCUGGUUUUCCAGGCAAAUCCGGAAAAUCAAG